ACAGCAGGGAAAUCAAGUGAGUUAUAGUCUUUGGGCAGUCCCUCCACCUCCACUCUCCACAACUUCGGAUCGCUCACCCCAAAAGCCUGGCUCAAGUACUCCGUGAAAGUCCUCGCCACCGCAGCGUUCGACAGCACGUUACUCUGAGGUAGCUAAAGGCGCCGCCGGCGACCGGAAUCGCGACGGCAAACUCGGUGUAGCACAUGGAGGAGAGGAAGGCGGAGGCGCCGGCGACGAGAUAGGAGAGGAAGACGGAAGGGCCGGCGACGUCAUGGGCGGCGCGGCCGGUGGUGACGAAGACUCCGGCUCCCAGCAUGCCGGCGACGCCGAGGGCGACGAGGUCGUACCACUCGAGCUUGCGCUUCAUGUCGGCGCCGGACCUUUGGCGAACUUGGUUGAGCUCUUGGUCCGGCGUCCAUGUCACGAACAUCCUUCUUCGGAGGCGUUGAGGGGUUUGGGAGAGACCAUGGAGGAGGGUGGAGCAGUGCGCGGUGGCCAUGAAUAAGUUCCUUUUCUUUUUUUUGGGCUAACUAUUUACACCCAUGCAAGGCCAAGGCCCUCCCUUGCCUGCCUUUAUACUUGAUCAUCAAAUUAGGUAGCAGGAUGUGUAUGUUUAUAAUCAUCUCCUGAAACUAAUUAAAGAAUCAGUAACCAAAUUAUAUAUCA